ensembl:lncRNA
UGCUGAGGUUGGCAGAGUCCUCUGAGUUCCUCUAACUUAAUCCCUGCCCAAGCAGGGACACCCAGAGCAGGGUGCCCAGGACAAAGUUCAGGCAGUUUUUGAAGUUCUUCAAGAAGGAGAUUCCACAGCCUCUCUGGGUAAUCUGUGCCAGUGCUCUAUCACCUGCAUAGACAGGGCCGGAUGUGGAGAAGGAAUCUUACAGUUCAUAAACAAGAUCAUAAAAGAACAACUUGCUUUGUUACCACUUCUACUGAGGCUGUGAAACACGAGUUACUGAAAAUACUACACUGCAGCUUGUGUCCAUGAGGCUCAGGAGAAUGAGAUGCUGUGCUGCAAACAACUCAGAAGCAGGAAAGGAGAAGAAGGAGGGGAGAAAAUGAGCUGCCUCAGUAAUAUACCUCCUCUGACAAAGCUGAAAGUGCCUGGCUAUUUCUCAGCAAAUGAAAAAAAGUCUAAAGGAAUGAGGACUUGUGUGGCCUCCCCCAACCAAAAAAAUAAAAAAAGAGGAAAUUAGACUGUAAACUAUUCCUGAGGUGGAAGAAACACCAACAUGAAUUCUUGACAGAAAAAAAAAGUCCUUGUGCUGCUCCUCUGCCCCAUUUUGCAACUGUGCUAUCCUGGCAAAGACUUUUGGAUUAAAUCUACAGAUUACACUGGACCUGACUUCACUCAGAGACUGAAAUACGUGCCGCUCUCUUGAUGAGCAGAUACAUUACAUUCAAUCUAUCUAGCAGUUUUUGUCCUGCACAAGCCAAAUCUCCUUUCAACAUCAAUAUUAUUUAUUAGCUCAUGAGCUUUCCUCAUCACCAGGAGAUCUGAGAGCCUCUACAGACACUAGUGAGCCUAUUCUCAUACUGGGUGAGAGAGUGCUGGGGAAGUCAGAAGGAACCUGAAAUUUCAUGGAUGCCCAGUAACAGAUGUCUAGAACCUGUAUUCAAAGUCAUAAGAAUGGCUGAAUCAAAUGACCAUGAGACAGCUGUGUCCAAAUUUCUAUGUGGUAUUUAUAUAGUGAAUACAAAUGAGAAAUCUGAUUUGAAGGUGUGGAGAGCUCUGCUCCACUUAUGCAUGAAAGUCUCUUAUGAAAGUGUAUGCAAAAUUCAGAUGUGUGCCACUGGUUUUGGAGCUACAGAACAUGCAAUUUCCACCCCCGUGAUAAAUAUUCAUACCACUUAAUUGCACACAGAUAAUGACAUCUCCAAGUAUUGCUGCAGCAUCAUGUCUGCUUUCCUUUCUUAGUUGUUUCCUCAGAGGAUCAGUUCUGCUCUGCUUAGGACCAAAACCUGAGAGCAUUCCCACGGGGUUGUGCUGACAACACAGACAGUGGGGUAGUCACAAGUCUCUGGAAUAAGCUUUUCAUUAAGGUUCUUUAUCCUACAAAACAACCAAAAAGCAGUUGAGGUAGUACAGAGUUCACAGAGGCUAGUUUAUCAGGCUCCUAAGCAGACUAGCCAUGCAUCUAUAGCCUGUUUGUAUGACUCUCUCCACAAGUGCAGACAUAGCUUGCAAGGUCACAGAGAAUUCAGAAGUACAGGAACAGCAAAAGAGUAUGAAAAUUACAAAUAUAUUGUCAUGCUUAACAGGUUACAGUUGCUUUCAAACAGAAGGUAUCUCAAAGUUACCCACACCUUUUGCAAAUAAGCUCUUAAGGUGAAGUUUCAUUCAUUUCCAGUGAGGCUAGGGAGAGUAGACCAGUGUAACACUAGUGUGUGCAGGAGGGUCUUUCUAGGGCCUCACAGAUUUUAUCUAUAUUGGCAAGUAAUUCUGUGCAAUAGGAAGAGAUCAAUAAAUCAAAGCUUCCCCUUGUUCCUAGUUUAAUACAUUGCAAACCAAAUCCAAGUACAAGAAAGGAGCAACCAGGAGAUCUGUGCAGCAAUACAUUGCUGUUCCAAGCCAAGCUGUUGAUAUCAGCAUGGCCACACUUACUCUUACAGAGGACCUUAGAAAAUUAGAUCUUCAAAGUUUUACCUUAAAGGAGAUGAUAUGGAAAAGUCAUUCUUACCACUGACAAACCUAAACAUAAAACUCUGCUUUUCCACACAUCUUUCCCUUGCAGGUUUCAGUUCUGUCAGAGCACACAGCAUGUCAGACAAUUUUUGUUGUUAUUGUUGUUAAUCAUAUAAUACAGUCAGCUUUGUGGCAGGUAAAUGAAAUUUAGGCAUCUUUCUAUCUCCCCGUCAGUAUUUGGCCAUAAGAUUCUACAUUAAAUUGUUCUUUGCUCCAAAGCUCGCCCAGAGCAACAGCACUCCAA